rnacentral:rRNA from 1 species
GACGAACGCUGGCGGCGUGCUUAACACAUGCAAGUCGAGGGGGGCGCUGGGGGGCAACCCUAGCGUCACCGGCGAACGGGUGCGUAACACGUGAGCGACCUACCGAACUGCGGGGGAUAGCCGGCCCAACGGCCGGGUAAUACCGCAUACGAUCCCUGGGGGGCAUAUCCUGGGGAGGAAACCUCGAGAGGGGGCAGUUUGAGGGGCUCGCGGCCUAUCAGCUAGUUGGCGGGGUAACGGCCCACCAAGGCAGUGACGGGAGCUGGUCUGAGAGGAUGGCCAGCCACAUUGGGACUGAGAGACGGCCCAGACUCCUACGGGAGGCAGCAGUGGGGAAUCUUGCGCAAUGGGCGAAAGCCUGACGCAGCGACGCCGCGUGGGGGAGACGGUCUUCGGAUUGUAAACCCCUGUUGCCCGGGACGAAUGCCUGCUUUGGCAGGACUGACGGUACCGGGUGAGGAAGCACCGGCUAACUCUGUGCC